rnacentral:rRNA from 1 species
GAUGAACGCUGGCGGCGUGCCUAAUACAUGCAAGUCGAGCGAACGGAUGAGAAGCUUGCUUCUCUGAUGUUAGCGGCGGACGGGUGAGUAACACGUGGAUAACCUACCUAUAAGACUGGGAUAACUUCGGGAAACCGGAGCUAAUACCGGAUAAUAUUUUGAACCGCAUGGUUCAAAAGUGAAAGACGGUCUUGCUGUCACUUAUAGAUGGAUCCGCGCUGCAUUAGCUAGUUGGUAAGGUAACGGCUUACCAAGGCAACGAAGCAUAGCCGACCUGAGAGGGUGAUCGGCCACACUGGAACUGAGACACGGUCCAGACUCCUACGGGAGGCAGCAGUAGGGAAUCUUCCGCAAUGGGCGAAAGCCUGACGGAGCAACGCCGCGUGAGUGAUGAAGGUCUUCGGAUCGUAAAACUCUGUUAUUAGGGAAGAACAUAUGUGUAAGUAACUGUGCACAUCUUGACGGUACCUAAUCAGAAAGCCACGGCUAACUACGUG